AAGAGGGAACCAAAGGAGAAUCCCCAUGGCCUCAAGGAGCAAAUAGCAACCAAGGGAAGGUACCUGCUGGGCAUUAGGCUCACGGCUUUCUAGCUCCUCUGCAGGUGAUGGUUUCCAGUGACCAGGAUGAGACCCACUGAGACACCCCACUUGCUUCAGAGCCUGCACAUGGGAUCCUGAGAAAACUGGUAAAAGCCAGCAAAUGUUACUGAUUUACUAGGAUGCUUUUCCAAGUGUUCCUGCAAAACUGUUUCAUCUUCAAGAAGACCCAUGGAAAGGAUUCUAACAAGUUCAGGUUUCUUGUAACUCUCAGAUCACAACACUGAACUGGGACACAAUUGGAAACAUUGGCUAUAUGAUCAAGACUGUGCUGAAAUGUCAUAUUUGAUGCAUAAAAUCAGAUGUAACCAGAUAAUUUUAAGAUACUACAAUUGACUUUAUGGAACCAAUAUAAGUUCCUUGGAAAAAUCAAUCGGGUACUGUGCUUAUGGGGUUCCUGGCAGCCUUAGCAGGCGAGGAAGGUAGGUCACUUCCUGGCAAGGCCAGAAACCUCAAGAUAUC